CCCAGACUCCUACGGGAGGCAGCAGUGGGGGAUAUUGCACAAUGGGGGGAACCCUGAUGCAGCGACGCCGCGUGGGUGAAGGAGCGUUUCGGCGCGUAAAGCCCUAUCGGCAGGGAAGAAGGAGGACGGUACCUGACUAAGAAGCCCCGGCUAACUACGUGCCAGCAGCCGCGGUAAUACGUAGGGGGCAAGCGUUAUCCGGAUUUACUGGGUGUAAAGGGGGCGCAGACGGCAGCGCAAGCCAGGAGUGAAAGCCCGGGGCCCAACCCCGGGACUGCUCUUGGAACUGCGCGGCUGGAGUGCAGGAGGGGCAGGCGGAAUUCCUGGUGUAGCGGUGAAAUGCGUAGAUAUCAGGAGGAACACCGGUGGCGAAGGCGGCCUGCUGGACUGCAACUGACGUUGAGGCCCGAAAGCGUGGGGAGCAAACAGGAUUAGAUACCCCCGUACAU
rnacentral:rRNA from 1 species